rnacentral:lncRNA from 1 species
CAGCCCAUAAAAUAGAAAUCAACAGUGAGAGCUCAGAAAUUCCCAGACUGUUUUGAUGAUAAGGUCCAAGAACUUGCCAUGUGAUCCAUCACUACUAGACUCCCACAACUGCAUUAGAUUUGUUCAGGAUUUUCAUAUAAUUUUCAUAACUGGCUAAGUUCUGAAAUAACCCAUCUUGAAGACAUAAACAAUGUGCAUUGAUGGCUAGCCAGACUCUGUCCUGCCACAGUUCUCCUCCUACUCUUCAUUUCUUACCCCAAGGAGUAGUAAACAUGAAUCCUGACCCACCAAUGCAGUCCCAGAACUGAGAAAAGAUUCACUGCAGCUAAACACAUUGGAAAUGGAUGGGGAGAAGGCCUGAUGAAAAUUACUGAGGAAGCCUCUUAGCCUAUGUGCUCUGAGAGUAGUGACACCUAGCAGUCGUUCAAAAGAUGAUCAAGAGGAGCAUGAAAAAAUCCCCUGAAUCCAUUGGCUUUCUUCCCUAUACUGACAACAGUUUACUUGUGUAAGAGAUGCAUGCCUCGACUCCGGACCCCUUCUUUCAUCUGCAAAAUCAGCAGCACCCUCACAUCAUCUCCUGUAACAAACUCUCUCUGUCUCCUCCAUAUAAGGUCACUGAUGGUUACAUUUAGGGUCCAUGAUAUAAGGCCCUCUCCAGGGUGCCUGAGUUUGUUGUUUCAUCACAGAAUUACACGGAAGAGACUGGAAAGAUAACUCUUCAAAUGUCAAAUCAUUCCCCUAUAAAAAAUUUUGCCACAGCUGUUGAAAUAUGGCCUUAGGGUUUAUGACAGAAUUUGAACCAGCCCCAUGGAAAAUGCAUCUUGACUCUGCUUUUAUUCCUUUCCCUGCUGAGCUCCUAAUAGAAGAUGGAUGUCUAUUGCUUUUCUCUUGAUAUUCAUGGCACUGCUCCUCUCCAUCCAUAGGAUUAUCUUAUAGAUGAGGGUCUCAUCCUUUUGCCCAGGCUGGAGUACAG